rnacentral:rRNA from 1 species
UACGAAGGGUGCAAACGUUGCUCGGAAUUAUUGGGCGUAAAGCGCACGUAGGCGGCUUUGCAAGUCGGAUGUGAAAUCCCUCGGCUUAACCAAGGGAGUGCAUCCGAAACUGCAGAGCUUGAGUACUUAAGAGGAUCGCGGAAUUCCCGGUGUAGAGGUGAAAUUCGUAGAUAUCGGGAGGAACACCAGUGGCGAAGGCGGCGAUCUGGGAAGAUACUGACGCUGAGGUGCGAAAGCGUGGGGAGCAAACAGG